UCCCAAUGACAUCUCCUUAAUCGGAGAGUUCCCUUCGGGGACAUUGGUGACAGGUGGUGCAUGGUUGUCGUCAGCUCGUGUCGUGAGAUGUUGGGUUAAGUCCCGCAACGAGCGCAACCCUUGUCUUUAGUUGCCAUCAUUAAGUUGGGCACUCUAGAGAGACUGCCAGGGAUAACCUGGAGGAAGGUGGGGAUGACGUCAAAUCAUCAUGCCCCUUAUGCUUAGGGCUACACACGUGCUACAAUGGGUAGUACAGAGGGUUGCCAAGCCGUAAGGUGGAGCUAAUCCCUUAAAGCUACUCUCAGUUCGGAUUGUAGGCUGAAACUCGCCUACAUGAAGCUGGAGUUACUAGUAAUCGCAGAUCAGAAUGCUGCGGUGAAUGCGUUCCCGGGUCUUGUACACACCGCCCGUCACACCACGGGA
rnacentral:rRNA from 1 species